rnacentral:rRNA from 1 species
UACAGAGGUGGCAAGCGUUGUUCGGAAUUACUGGGCGUAAAGGGCGCGUAGGCGGUUCGAUAAGUCCCGUGUGAAAGCCCCCGGCUCAACUGGGGAACUGCACGGGAAACUGACGGACUUGAGUUCGGGAGAGGGAAGCGGAAUUCCGGGUGUAGCGGUGAAAUGCGUAGAUAUCCGGAGGAACACCCGUGGCUAAGGCGGCUCUCUAGUACGGUACUGACGCUGAGACGCGAAAGCGUGGGGAGCGAACAGG